AUACGUAGGUGGCAAGCGUUGUCCGGAUUUACUGGGCGUAAAGGGUGCGUAGGCGGCCUUGCAAGUCAGAUGUGAAAGAUCACGGCUUAACUGUGGUAAGCAUUUGAAACUGUAAGGCUUGAGUGCAGGAGAGGAGAGUGGAAUUCCUAGUGUAGCGGUGAAAUGCGUAGAUAUUAGGAAGAAUAUCAGUGGCGAAGGCGGCUCUCUGGACUGCAACUGACGCUGAGGCACGAAAGCGUGGGGAGCAAACAGGAUUAGAUACCCUGGUAGUCCACGCUGUAAACGAUGAGUGCUAGGUGUCGGGGGCCAUACCUCGGUGCCGCAGUUAACGCAUUAAGCACUCCACCUGGGGAGUACGGCCGCAAGGCUGAA
rnacentral:rRNA from 1 species